rnacentral:tRNA from 1 species
GCGGGCGUAGCUCAGGUGGCAGAGCACGGGAUUUCCGAUCCCGUGGUCGCGGGUUCGAGUCCCGUCGCCCGCUCCA